rnacentral:lncRNA from 1 species
ACAGAUAUGGAAACUGAGCCCUCACACAUGGACUGAAUUCUGACAAGCAGAGGAUAAAGGCAGAACAACAUGACUGAAGGUAUGGAGGUGGGGUUGCUUAUAGCAUAGUCAUUUUUACGGUAAGAAAUCAAGCCAGAGUACAACAGAAAGUGAUUUGGGCAGAGACGUAAGUUACAGUCAACACUGUAGGACAGUGUGGUGGGCAGAAAUUGUAGAGAUCUGUGAACUGUAGGCCAUAACCCUGGACAUUAUCUCAAAAUAUAUUUCCGACCUUAGUGUCUUGAGCGUUUGUCAAAAAUAUUUAUUUCUGGAUCCCACGAUAUAUCUAAAUCAGAAAUUUUAUCUUGAUAGAAGUUGGUUUUCGGCAUUUUUCACAGGCCCUCCACUCCAGCGUCCUAGUGAUUCAGAUAUUC